AUAACUAUAACCAUAACCAUAACCACUAAACUAUCACUGUGACACAGCCGGCAUCAGAAACCCCAGCUGCUGGCCUUCAGCGCCCCCUUGGUCUCGUCUGGUGGACGUGGAGUCCUCGAGAGCUGUCAGCUGGUCCAGGUCUGGACGGGCCCUGUGAGAGGAGGGUUCUUAGGGUCUGUCCCCAGCCUGCCAUAGGCUUGAGGAAGUUCCUCCAGGGUCAGGGGUGGGAAGCUGCUGAGGGUCUCCUGUCUGGGUCUCUGCAGCCCAGCUCCUGGCCCAGGACCCUUCCUCAGGCUGUUGCAGCCUUGAGACAGCAGGGUGAGGGCGUGCAGGAUGCAGUCUGAUGGUCAGGAGGGCAGGGCGGUACCCCGGUCUUGGAGGACAAGCUCCCUGGACUGGACCUCAGGACGGGCGUUUCUGUCCUGGACGGUGUCACCGUGGUACCAUAAUAACUACCACAAUAACUACCCCAAUACCACCAUGACAAGCUGGCAUCAGAAACCCCAGCUGCUGGCUUUCAGCGCCCCCUUGGUCUUGUCUGCUGGGUUGGAGCCCUCGGGAGCUGUCAGCUGGUCCAGGUAUGGACAGGUCCCGUGGUGGGGAGGAUUCUGAAAACCUAGUCCUGGUCCAGGUCUGGACGGCCCAAUGGCAGGGUGGCCUGUGAUGCCUCCUUGCCCAGCCAACCCUGCGGCCAUGGACGACCCACCUCCAGGUGCAGGGCUGAGUGCACCCUGGACCCAGUGGCUCUCUGAGCCCAGGUCUGAUGUCCUGCUGGGCCUGCACUCCGAGUCCCUUCAGGUCGGUGGUGGUGGGCCAGGGAAACUAAGAAGCUGAGCAGAGGCCCGAGCAUUGCGGCCGUGGACAGCGUCCUGCACAGGAACCUGGCAGGUAGGGACGCCAGUCCAUCUUGAGCUCCUCAGGCUGACCUGUGGGGUGGCAGGUGGCCAUGCUGCAGGGCUGGGAGGGAGACUUAGGUGUAAUGGCUCCUAUGGACGCUUCCUGCAGAGGCUGGUCACUGGCUUGGCUCUGGUGCAGUGCCUGCCCCGGCCAUGAUCUCUGGACACUGCACAAGGAACCUGCACACCCCUGCUACAUGUGAGAGGCCCCUCGAGCCCCUUCAGGCCGGGCCUGGAUCUGGACUCCCCUACCUCGGGUCUGGCAGCAUGCUGGGAGCUGCUGCCUCUGCAUGAACCCCUCCCAGCCUGCUCCCUGGCGAGCUCCUAUGCAGUUGAGCACAGGCCCAGCUCCAGCGUCCACUGCUGUCAGCUUCCCUGAGCUCCCAGCAGGGUUGGAGGUGUCUCGGGUCCUGCCCCUGGGAAACUUGAUCUGACGGUUUGCCCAGUGUGGGCUCUGUCCUUCCUGACCCCGUUUGGGGGUGCACUGAGCGCUGGGGGUCAUGGCCAGCUUGCUGGGCUAGGACGUGUGGCUGCAGGGUCAGUCAGUCAUCUCAGAGUCUGGACACGGGCCCGCGGGCCGCAUCCGCCCAGAGUGGCCCAGAAGGCCGAAGGUCUGGUCUCUGAAGCUCAGGCCGUGAGGCCUGGCCGUGGGGCUGGGUGGCCGUGCGGUUGGCAGGGUUUGCUGCCCCAUGUCUCACUGUGGUGGUCACUAUAGUAACACCGCAGUGGAGCCCUUGGCAAAAAGCCCUGUUUGCGCUGUAGGCCGUCUGCGUGGGGACCCUGGAUGUGGGGCGUUCAGAGGGCUGCACAGUCAGGGGGCUGGGCGGCCUGGGCUGGCUGUGGGUGGGUUGGUGCCGGGCUCAGGGCUUGGGGAGGGCAUGGUGCCACAGGAGACCUGCUGGAGCACGUGGGCGGCGUCCCCUGCCAGGUGGACGAUGACCAGGCUGGCUCUCCUGAGGCCCCGAGCUGGGCUCGGCCAAGUGACAGCCUCCUGGGUUGACAGAUUGUACCCAAAUUGCUCGCAAACUGUGUAUCGGUCACCUUGAGGCCGGUUGUGCUCUGGGGCCUGUGGGCACCUCCCACCAGGAAACCCAGGAGCAGAGCAGAGUCAUUCCUGCUGCUGCCCGUCCUGGGAGUCUGGGCCCAGUUGUGCUGGCCCAGUCCUGAGGGCAGUGCUGAGCUGCUCAUCCUCGUGGCUCCAGCGGGACUGGGAGCAGGCGCAGGGAGCUGCGUCCCCCAACCCUGCACCUGUCCCCGCCCUGACCCCGGGGGCCCAGAGGCCCAGAACGAGGCAUUCGCUGAGGGGCAGGGCUCUCCUCCACAGUCGGUUCAUGCUCUCUGUGCCCUCCUGGCUCCAGGCCUUGGAGCAUGGUUGAGACCCACCCUCUUGAGGCCCUCAGCAGCCCCUGGGCACCCACUCCAUGCUGAUUUUGGGUGAUGGAUUGCGAUCAGGCUUGGAAGCCCUGGCUUGUCCAGCAGAGUCCCUGCUGGAAUGUGGACAGUCCUCUGGAUCUGGUCUCCCCCUAGCACCCUGGGGCAUCAAGAGGUGCCCCCUUCACCUGCAUGGGGGUGUGCGCGGGCAGGGCUGGAGUGCUGGCCCUUUGCCGGGACCCCUGCCCUGCUGGCAAGUCUUCGUUCUGUGGAGUCUUGGUCCUGGGGAGGGGUCAGGAGCUCCCUGGUAUGGCUGCCUCAGUGGGCCUCGGCCACCUUUGCUCAAUACUCUCACUAGGUGGCCUGGAGCCCCAGGCCCUUCCCUGUCCCCUGGCCAUGCGCUGAGCCCAGGGCCCAUGCCCACACAUCCCUUCUGGCUCACUGUCCCGAGUUGGUGGGGGAGGCACCUUGCUUGGGAGCCCAGUGCCCCUGGGGACGCGUUGCCCAGCUCCACACCUGUGUGCGGGUCGGGCUUUGUGUCAGGGCCUGAGUCACUGUGGGUAUAGCAGGAACCAUCAUCACGGUAUUCUCACGGUGACACGCACACCCUCACAAUCCUCCCUACCCGGCUGUGUGUGUGUGGCCGCCCUCGUGGGCUCCAGCUGUCUCUGAGGUGGAGACGCUGUGUUUCCAAUGGGUUUUUGCUUUGAACCCUGGGGUGAGCAGGGUGCAGGGUGAGUCUGACCCAAACCUCCUGGGUGACGAGGCAGCCCUCUCUGGGCCUGGGGCCCACUGAGAUCUGCCCAUGGGUCCCACGGGCAGUCUGCCCAGCUCCAGGGUUCUGGUUGUGUCCUUGCUGCCCUCUGGGCCCCUUGCAGAGUUUCCCUGUCCCGGGCCUGACCAGUGAGGGCUAGCACCCCUGGCCCUCAGCUCACAUCUGCUGGAAGUUGCUGAUGCUGGCUGGGUUCACACCUGGCACAUGUGUCAGCCUCCUGGAGCUGGGGGAUGGCCGCCUUGAUGCGAGACCGGCUCCCGUCUAUGGCUGCGGGGGGCCCUCCCCCUCCCAGCACCGGGUGUAGAUGGCCCUCCCUGGCUGUGACGUGCUGUGUCCGUGGUUGGUUGGGAAGUCUCUGGUGACCAACCUUCCCUACCCUUUUCCCUGGCUCAGUGCACAUCCUUCUAAGGACCCUCACGGAACCUGCCAGGAGCCACCUGCUGCCCAAUUAGCCUGGACGUCCAGGUAAGAAGAAAAAGAGAGAUUAUAUUCAAGCCAAACUGAGGAUUCUAGCCCCAGAAGGGAAGUGGAUUCUCAGAAGUCACUCUGCCUACCAGGAGUCGAAGGCAUAGUCAUGCACAUUUUUGAGACAAAGCAUCGUCCAUCGGAAAGACGUGAGGGUAUUUUACAGAAAGGUCACCAAGGGUGUCCAGCCAGGUCCAGCCCAAAACACAAGGCUUCUAACGUAUGCGUUUGAUGAAAUCCAACGUGUUCCUGCAGCGGAGGCAGGAAACUGACAUUGGUGCACUGCAGCCUUCCACAAAGCUGAUCCCGCUGUGAACAAGCUAUAAAGCGGACAGACCAAGAUGUUCUUCUACAGAAUCCAAAUCGGUAAGCUUUUCUGUUUAAACUAUAGCAUUGAUCCGGAGCAUUCAAAGCCCCUCGACCAAAGAUUUCUCUGCAGUGCACACUGCGGUCAGUGCAGCUUCCUUUAAAGCAGUACCCUUCUUCACCACAUGGCGUUCCAUCUUGCAUAAAAACAUCUCUAGGGCAGGUCUUGCUUAUCCCACGGCAGUACUCAGGAAGGUCACACAUACUCCGGAUGGGUCUGCAGAGCGUCCCGGGCUUGGAGAAUGUGCAGUUUGUGCAGCAUGUGUCUGCGUCACAAAUACUUGCCUCAGUGAAAGAACAGAGGUUGUCACAGCAUGGGUUGCUGUAGCAGUCCUUGAAGGAGCCGCAGUCGCAUUGCUCCUCAUUUUCCACUUCUUUGUUUCCACAACGUUCGUGUGUCAUCGAUCUAUUGUAAUAUACCGGCUCAAGGUGGAACAUACAAGAGCUUAUAUCACGGCCAACUAUAUGUUGUAAAUGCCCAUAGGAGCAGUUACUGAAAGCAUCUGUCAGAGACUGGUAGCCAUUCAUAAUGCAGGUGGUCCUUCUCUGGCAAACACAGUCUGGGUAGUCAUAAUACAGACCAAUACUUCUGCCAAUUAGAAAGCACACAUAGAGAGCCACCGUUAGGGUAUUUUUCCCCGAUGUAGCAAUUGGCACCAAACUACCUGAAAGGCAGAAACUAUACAGGCCUGGAACAUAGACACCGUCAGGCGGUUCAGCUGUGCUAAAGACUACAGCUGUAUGUGGUUUAAAAGCAGGAUAUAAGGUUCUUGAAUAGAACUGGAAGUAUGCACUCUGUGGUCUGAGAGACGCAGUGCUGACUGGGUCCCUAACAUCGUAAACAUGCAUGACGCUAAUAUAAAACCUCGUCUCAAGACCACGAUACACUGCAUCAAUGAUAUUGCCCACAUCCACCAUGUACUGAACAGUUUUUGACACAUUGUUUAUGGUUCUGUAAAAUGCAUUAGUAGACUGACAUAAGUGCUUUCAUAAGUGCUUCAUGAAACAUAUACAGCUUACUAGACAUCCUGGGGGCUGCAGUGAUGUUUGCUGGAGAGAGCAGAGGGUCCCUUUCCUCCUCAUACCCCGGUCUGUGCAUCGGUUCCAUUGCGCUGGCAUCUGCCACCAUCUGAGAAAGAGUGUGCUCAAACUUUCGAGAAUGCUUGGGGGGCUGAUUUCGUAGGUGAGGUCAUCCAACGUCAUAUAACCCUGGAGACCCGCAUAGCAUGUGUUCAUGGUGACCGUGGAGAAAGGGAUCUCCUCCAUGUAGCCAAAAUAGUAGCAGUCUUCAGGGACAAAGGGGUGGUCUGUCUGCAGGACUCCUUGGUCAUCCGGAGUCAUCAUCAGGUAUCCAGGCCAAAGGAGCCUCUUGCGCCGCCUGUGGAUUACGUGCCUCUGUCCCCCAAAAUGCAGGCUGUAGGAGAGCCAGCCCAACACCUGGGCGCCCUUGCCUUGGUGCAGCUCCUUCCUGGGAAUGACCACCUCCGUGGAGAUGUAGUGCCAUGAGGGACGGUCUGGAGAGCACUGGACAGGGGCCAGCACUGCACAGAGCCCGAGCAGCCAGAGGGCUGCCCUCAGGGAGACCCAGCCCUCUGCCGGCAUGGGGGCGCUGCUCAGGGAUGUCUGCCAGCGAGGACAGAGAAGGCGAGGCCCCGCAGAGAAGCCAGGUCUGAGCCACGUGCUGAGGCCACUGCCGUCAGAGGAGACACUGACAGAGAACAAAGGGUGCCGGGGCUGCCAGCGUCCAGCCCUGGGCGGGUCAUCUGCAGAGACUGAGUCACAGUCACAGGGCGAGGCCCUGGGCAAGCCUGGUCAUCAGUUCAGUGGGGCUGACCUGGGCAGGGGGGAGGCUGUGUCCACGAGUGCAGCAUGGGAGGGGCAGGGGAGGGGAGCAGAGGCCUGUCUCCACUCCAUACGUCCAGCCCUUCUUCCAGCGGUCUGCACGCCCCACAUACAUCUGCAACACGGCUCACGGGCCCCCGCUGUGCCCCCUGGAGCUGCCAGGCCCCCUCCUGCACAGGCCUCUUUUCCCUCCUGCGAGCACCACUUCCUUCUACUUUGGCGAUUGGAACCAGACAUUGCUCACAUCACUUAACAUUUGUAGGUGUUGAAAGUGUUUUAAAAGUUCAUAAUUGGGUGUGUCUCAUUCCGAUUAGCAGGUAGGUCACUUGCAAACCGCGUGUUCCUCUUGGUUUUCAUUGGAAGCUUCGUUUAGGCCCCCUGAGGAGCAGGCUCCCCACUCUCCUCUGGGACGCUCUCUGUGAUUCUUGCUGACCCUGGCUGGUGAGACCAGAAACCAGGCCUGACUGCGAGCCCCCGGGUGACCUUUGUGUCCUUCUGUGUGGCUCUUUCCCGGCAGGGGAUGGUUCUCACCUGUGCCUCUGUGGACCCAGGGGCCGCAUGAUACCCACGGGGAGCGAGGAAGUAUUUCAGGCAGUUUUACACCACUUUGUAGCCAUCCACAGAGGACAGAAACUCACUCACAGGGCAGAAUCAAAAGCAAGAUUUCACUUUCAUCUGUAAUAUGAGAAUUCUGUAUCAACAGAGGGUGCCCUCUGCUGCAUUUUGCUCGUUGGUCUGUUUUCUUUUUCCCUUCUUGUCUUGGGAGAGAACAAUCUGACUCAGGUCGGAUCUGGCUCCUUCCCUUUCAUGUGUGUGUUCUGUUGCCUUGACUGCAAGCUGCUCGCUACAGGGAGGUGGCCCACGCAGUGGCUGUCUCCUGAACCCUGCCCCCUUGCCCGAGAGUCAGCUCACAGGAAAUCCUUGGCCAAGCCCCGCUGGGCAUGGCUGCAGGGGAUGAGAACCUGAGCCCUCCAUUCAGAAUCUGGCUGGAAGCAUGAAGUGUCUGCAGCAGCCUGUGGCCCUUAGCACUUUAGCACUCGACCUCCUCACCUCCCGGUCUCUGCACUGUAAGAGAAACAGGAGUCAAACUCCAGGCCACAUGGUUCAGGAGGACUCUCAUCGGCCCUCUGCUCUGUCUCUUGGCUCUGCCAGUAAGGCCGCUACUCGUGGCCCUGACUCCUGGCCCUCAGCGCAUCGGCCUGUGAUGAGGCGAGCAGAGCAGAAGGAGGGUGGGCUCUGGGAUGUCUCUGGGCCCUGAUGCUCGGGAGCCCUGCCCCCUUCCUCUUGGCUCUGUAUUCAGUGUCAGUGCCUGCUGUCAUCCUGGGGGAGUCACAGACUCCUUCAGGUCCUCUUCACCAUUUGCAGAAACGGUCAGAGGGAGUACUUCCUGCAGGUGGGGAAGGUGUUUGCUUUUACCUGCUGGAUACUGUAGAGGACAGAGCACUGCAUGUGCCUUCAGCCCUGCGCAGCAGCGGCUGUCACUGGGGAGGCGCGUGCCAGGGACGAUGUCCCAGGAAGGUGCGUCUCUGAUUUCUGGGCAUAGUGUUUUUGGUUGCAGGAACACAGGGUGUGCAUUGUACGGGCUCUGGCAGCCAGCGUGCUCCUGGGAAGUUCUGUGGUGAUAACUGGGUCAACAGUGCUUUGGCAGCCCUGUGGUAUUCCGAGUCCCUGAGACGUGCAAUUGGAGAUGAGCUGUCAAUCCGAAAGAGGCUGCCGAUGCCGUGGAGCCUGGCUCCUACUGUCCACAGGGUCUCCAUCUUCCCCAUCUGGAUGGUCCUCCGUGCGGAGCAUCAGCCCCAGAGACAACAACAGAAGACAGGAGUCUCAGGAAGUUCACUUGGCUUAGAUGUGAUGUACCCGGCCACUAUUUCCACCCUUCUGUACCUACACCCUGUCUUCUUCAGAGUGUGGGAGGACACCUGCUGACCAAUAGGCUCCACCAGGGAUAAGGGCAGCUCUCGAGUUGGGUGUGAAAAGGAUCGGUAUUCAUUCUGGCUGUAUGUAGCAGCCCAGUUGGCUCCAUGGGUCUCCUGAGGUCGUGUCAGCCUCCUGAGUGUGGGCUGGGGAGGAAACAGGCACAACCUUAGAAGGAGGCAAACAUCACAUGCCCACAGGUGGCAGGAGAGCCAGUAAAGGCCAGGGACCCCUGGGAUUUCUGAGGGGGCCACAGCAGGGCAGCGCCUAAGCCAGACCUGCAGUUGCCAUACACAGGGUCCCCUUCCCUCUGGCAGUGUGGUCCCCGCAGUAAUGGUGGGGACAUCAGGGCUUGGUGUGGAGAACACGUGGAGCACACGCAUGUGGCCACCAGGGGCAUCACCAGCUCCUAUGUUCCCUGCACACGUGGUUUACAGAAGCUGUUGUUAUUCAGAAGUUGGGGGUGCUGGGGUGAGGUCGGGUAGGGGAAUAGUCCUGUAGAUCUUUUCUUGGGCUGGAGGGAAUCCUGUACAAGGGAGCUGGUCCCUGUCCCCAGAGGGGGUGAUCGAGAGGGUGCUCCUGACCUACAAGGACCAAAGUGCUGGCCCAGAGGGCUUGCCCCCGGUCACCUGCUCCCUGAGCAGAGACGCUGUGUGUGAGGCAUCAUCUGGGAGUAGAUGCAGUGUGGGGAGUGCACAGGUGCUGGGGUGGCCUCGUGGGGAUCCUGGCCUGGCCCAUUGAGGCAGGGCCGUGGGGGCGCCCACAGAGCGGCCUGCCCGCUGCCUGAUGGAAAAGGGGAGAGUGUAAUGGGACAUUUCCAAGAGGUGGAUGUUGUUCCAGGACUCCUGUGGCCACCGCCUCUGCCAGCCAGGGUUGGCCUUGUGGUUCUGCCACCCACUGACCUCCAGCCCUUUCUCUGGACAUGGCCAGAGCAGGAGUGGAGGAGGAUGGGGGUCUAUCGGGGCACGGCUCACACACUCACCCCGAGCUGGCCCCUCCAGCUUCCACAGGACAGCAUACUGGGAACAGGGACACUUGCAUGUUGCACCAGAUGCAUUUCUGAAGGCAGAGGGGGCUUCAUCAUCCUUCCAUCGUCCCACCACCCGGGCUGCUACUGAGGUGACAGCUUGACCUGUGAGCAUCGCGGAGGGGCCUUGGGGCUGGGAGGGCCUCUCGGCCCAUUCUGGUGUGUGUGAGACAGAGCUUCUGUGGUGGGCCGGGGGUCUGGAACCCCGUGCUUGUAACGAGACCUGUGCUCUCUGUGGGACCACUCCCCUUCUGUGAAGGUCACAGUGCAGUGGAUUUUCAGGAGAGUGAGGGUCCAUCCCCACAGGUAUGGAGGGGAGAUGUCUGAGAGCAUCAGGACCAGAGAAAAUCCAGACCCUCCCUAAGAGCUCUCCUCACAUGCAGGGCCACUGUUUAGCCAUACUGUUAGAAUGGCUAAAACCCACCAGUCUUGCAAUGCCCACUGUUGACCAGUGAGAAGGACAAUGGAAAAGCUCAUCAUUGUUGGUGGAAAGAAGGUUGAUCCAGUCACAUCGGCAGGCAGUGUGGCAGUUUCGAAGAAAGGUAACACAGUUUUACCCUUUUCAUACUAUUUGUAAGGUUGUUGUGGAAGAACCCUGGAGUGGGUUACCAUUUUCCAUAAAGAAGGCUGAGCACCAAAGGAUUGAUGCUUUCAACCUGUGCUGCUGGAGAAGAC